AGAUUGAACGCUGGCGGCAUGCUUUACACAUGCAAGUCGAACGGCAGCACGGGGGGCAACCCUGGUGGCGAGCGGCGGGCGGGUGAGUAAGGCAUCGGAAUCUGCCCUGAUGUGGGGGAUAACGUAGGGAAACUUACGCUAAUACCGCAUACGACCGAGAGGUGAAAGCGGGGGACCGAAAGGCCUCGCGCUGAAGGAGCGGCCGAUGUCCGAUUAGCUAGUUGGUGGGGUAACGGCCUACCAAGGCGACGAUCGGUAGCUGGUCUGAGAGGACGACCAGCCACACUGGGACUGAGACACGGCCCAGACUCCUACGGGCGGCAGC
rnacentral:rRNA from 1 species